GUCCACGCCGUAAACGAUGGGUACUAGGUGUCUGGGGGAGCGACCCCCUGGGUGCCGGCGCUAACGCAUGAAGUACCCCGCCUGGGGAGUACGGCCGCAAGGCUGAAACUCAAAGGAAUUGACGGGGGCCCCGCACAAGUGGUGGAGCAUGUGGUUUAAUUCGACGCAACGCGAAGAACCUUACCUAGGCUUGACAUGCUGGAGAAAGCUCGCAGAAACGUGAGCCCCUCUUCGGAGUUCCAGCACAGAUGCUGCAUGGCUGUCGU
rnacentral:rRNA from 1 species